GAGGUCAGGAGAUCGAGACCGUCCUGGCUA
rnacentral:piRNA from 1 species